GGGGAUUUAGCUCAGUGGUAGAGCGCUUGCCUAACUAUUGCAAGGCCCUGGGUUCGGUCCCCAGCUCCG
rnacentral:tRNA from 1 species